rnacentral:lncRNA from 1 species
UUUCUUCUCAUUCCAUUAAUGUCUCAAAGCCAUCUCAUUCCUUUCACAGAAAUGGCCAAAUUGUUUGCAUCAAAUGGUGUCACAGUUACCAUUGUUCUCACACCCCUUAAUGCUGCAAGGUUCAACAUGGUCAUUGAUCAAGCAAAAUCAUCAAACCUUAAAAUCCAAUUUCAAUUACUACCUUUUCCUUGUGUAGAAGCAGGUUUACCAAAAGGGUGUGAAAAUAUGGACACACUUCCUUCUCCUAAAUAUCAACCUUUGUUUUUUGCAGCUUGCAAUAUGCUUAAAGAACCUC